AUGAUUUUUUGGGGCUGUUUCUGGUGUGAUAUCGACAUUGAGCUAGCUAUGAUUUUUUGGGGCUGUUUCUGGGGUGAUAUCGACAUUGAGCUUGUUCAAGAAUUAAAGACACCUCUCUAUUGGACAAUAUGUGGUUAUCUUCUCCUCUCACCAUUUCUGGUUGGAAUUUUGGAAAUGUUAAUCCCAUUUCGUCUGUUGUCUCAACAUCUUAGUUACUCUUUUUUCAACCUAUCGAUAAGAAAAAAAAAGUCCCAUUUCUUUUGUCGUCUCAACAUCAUAGUUACUAUUUUUCCAAUGUAUUAA